GAUGAAGAACGCAGCGAAACGCGAUAUGUAAUGUGAAUUGCAGAAUUCAGUGAAUCAUCGAAUCUUUGAACGCACAUGGCGCCUUCCAGUAUCCUGGGAGGCAUGCCUGUCCGAGCGUCGUUUCAACCCUCGAGCCCCCGUGGCCCGGCGUUGGGGAUCUGCCACGGCAGGCCCCUAAAACCAGUGGCGGACCCGAAGGCCCUCUCCUUUGCGCAGUAGCAUCAGCCUCGCAUUGGGAUCCCUCGGCGUCCUGCCUCUAAACCCCCCACAAGUCCGCUCCGGCGGCACCAAGGUUGACCUCGGAUCAGGUAGGAAUACCCGCUGAACUUAAGCAUAUCAAUAAGCGGAGGA
rnacentral:misc_RNA from 1 species